CGAGCCGCUACAAGCUUUGGGCUGUCAGAAGAUGCUGAUGAGAUCUACGGCGACCAAACCAGAGGAGCAGUAAACAGUGAGAGCAUGUUCAACUCUGUGGACGUCCAAAAGCAGAACUCCUGUGAGGAACCGGGACCUCCAGGAUGCUGAGGAGCCUCCCAGUCCCCACCUGAGGACGGCACAGAGGAAAACACCUGGAGGAAAGCAGGUUGAAUAUGGAAGCAACGUUCUAACAGUCGGAUCUCCAUGGAACAGACUCCAUCCACACGUGUUUGAAGGAGCUCAAGCAGAGGAUGGAGAACACAGACCACCAAGGAGGAGAAACAUGGCUCCUCUGCUCGUCUCUCCAACAUUCUGGAGUCCUGGAAUGAAAAACGUCGACGACCCCGCAGCUAAACCAUCAGUCUGCUCCACCCAGAAAGAAGAGAUGGUCAGCUGCUCCUUGGACCGGCUCCUCUGUGUCUGUUGGACGUCUGCUGUCCUGUUAAAGACUCGCUCGGCUGCAGUAGAUGGGCGCUGACAUGGAGCCGGGUUCUGCUGGAGGAUCCUUCCUGCUUAAAGCUAGUUUUCCUCUCUACUGUCACCACUUCAUUGCUCAGGAGGAGGGACUGAAGGAAGAUUGGCUGAGCUUCCCUGGAUUGAAUAUGUUUCGCCAUAAUACACUGAAUUUGUCUUCAUUAUGCUGUAAAUAGGAUCUAACUUGAUGUUUAUUGUUGAAUUUCAUUCUGUGUUUGUGUUGAAUUCUGUUACAUGUUUCUGUUUUAAAGCUCUCAUGUAAAUUGCCUUGAUAUCAUAUUAGCUGUGACUUGUUUUUAUUUUUAAAAUUGAAUUAUAUCAAAUUCUGCCUACUGGUUCUGGUUCUGUUGAAGGAUUCCUGUCAUUCUAUCUUCACAUGUUAUUUA